AAAGAAAGAGGAAGAGGUUUCAUAUGUUCAAAAUUACCUAUAGCAGCCCUUUUUGUGGUGGCAAAGAAAUGGAAACUGAGGGAAAGCCCAUCAGUUGUGCUGUAUUGUAUGGUGAGAAGUGAGGAAAGGGGAUGGUUUCUGAAAACCUGGCAAGACACGUAUGACACGUAUGAACUGAUGCAAAGUGAAGUGAGCAGAACCAGGAGGACAACUUGUAUGAUCACCAACAACUUAGGAAUAAUUAUCUAAAGGACUUGAGGUGAUUCCUGCUGUUCCCCUCCUGGAAGAAAAAAAGGAUUUAAGUGGAUGGAAGAGAAAAUAGGCAUGAUUAUAUGAAGCACCAGAAUGCGAGAAACAUGACAAGGGCACGUAUUUGGCUCCGGCCCUGGCCAGGUCUCCCUUUCUCCCCUGUGCCCUGGCUCCAUCCUGCCCCAGGAACUCACCCCAUCGAUGUCUGACUUACUGAGGGCACCUAAUCAGCUAUGACCUCCCUGGGCUCAGAACUCCAGAGCUGCUGCAGCCCUCCAGCCUCAGCUUCCCCACUGACAGGGGGCACCCAUCUAGGUCUCUUCCCCCCACCCCCAGCACAAAUAUCUGUGGAAGAACAAGAAAAACUCCAACAUUGGCCAUGAACGACUUCUUGGGCCCGUUAGCCCUCUCCAAGCAGAUAGGUCCCAUCAGGAUUUCUCUGGAAUUGGGGUGGCCCAUUACAUAGAUCACCCUUCCAAAGUCUUUCAAGUUGUUUUCCUUUAGAACGUUGUUGUAUAAGAGGGAAGUGAGCAGAAUGACGAGAAAUUAUAUACAAUAGCAACAAUAGCGUGGAGAGAACUUUGCGAACUCUGCUCAACACAAUGAUGCGUUAUAAUUCCAGAAAACUGAUGAUGAAACGCAUUAUUCAUGUCCUGAAAGGGAAAUGAGAGUCUCAGAGUACAGAGGGAGCUUAGGUUUUGUUUGAUUGGUUUUUUGAGGGUAUGACCAAAGUAUAAUUUGUUUGGAUAAUAAAUUUUCACAUUGGCAAAAAAAAAAAAAAAAGAAUGCUGUUAUAAAAAUUAUUUUCCUGGUUCUGUUUACUUCAUUCUGCCUUAGUUUAUACAAGUUUUCUCUGAAAUCAUCCAUUUUGUCACUUCUUAUCCUUUACAUAGUUUGACCAAAAUUUGUUUAGUCAUUCCCUCAUUGAUAGGUACUUCCUAGGCGUCCAAGUCUUUUCUUUUUGGUUUAAAAAAGGGAGGGACACUAUAUACAAAUAUAUUUGCACCUCUGGGUCCUUUUCCUCUCUUUUUUUUUUUUUUUUUUUUUUUAAAUCUCUUUGAGUCAUAGGCCUAGCAGCGACAAAACUGGGUCACCGAGCUCCAUUUAAUGACAUUUGACGACGGUUCCAGAUUGCUUUCCAGAAUGUUUGGAUCAAUUCACAGCUCCACCAAUAAUGCAUUAGAGUGCCUGUUUUUCUGUAGCCCCUCCAGCAUUUAUUUUCCUUUCUCAUGAUCCUCCUCAAUUGGACAUACAUGAGGCAAGACCUCAGAGAUGCUUUAAUUUGUAUUUUUUAGAUUAUUAUUAUUAAAGCUUUUUAUUUACAAGAAUAAUUUUUCAACAUUGACCCUUGCAAAACCUUCUGUUCCAACUUUUCCCCUCCUUCCCCCCAUCCCCUCCCCCAGAUAGCAGG